UACGUAGGUGGCAAGCGUUGUCCGGAUUUACUGGGCGUAAAGAGUGCGCAGGCGGUCGUUCAAGUCGCGUGUGAAAGCCCCCGGCUCAACUGGGGAGGGUCACGCGAUACUGAGCGGCUCGAAGGCAGGAGAGGGUAGUGGAAUUCCCGGUGUAGCGGUGAAAUGCGCAGAUAUCGGGAAGAACACCCGCGGUGAAGGCGGUUCUCUGGGACGGUACUGACGCUGAGACGCGAAAGCGUGGGGAGCGAACAGG
rnacentral:rRNA from 1 species